rnacentral:rRNA from 1 species
CCUACGGGUGGCAGCAGUGGGGAAUAUUGCACAAUGGGCGCAAGCCUGAUGCAGCCAUGCCGCGUGUGUGAAGAAGGCCUUCGGGUUGUAAAGCACUUUCAGCGGGGAGGAAGGCGGUGAGGUUAAUAACCUCAUCGAUUGACGUUACCCGCAGAAGAAGCACCGGCCAACUCCGUGCCAGCAGCCGCGGUAAUACGGAGGGUGCAAGCGUUAAUCGGAAUUACUGGGCGUAAAGCGCACGCAGGCGGUCUGUCAAGUCGGAUGUGAAAUCCCCGGGCUCAACCUGGGAACUGCAUUCGAAACUGGCAGGCGAGAGUCUUGUAGAGGGGGGUAGAAUUCCAGGUGUAGCGGUGAAAUGCGUAGAGAUCUGGAGGAAUACCGGUGGCGAAGGCGGCCCCCUGGACAAAGACUGACGCUCAGGUGCGAAAGCGUGGGGAGCAAACAGGAUUAGAUACCCUAGUAGUC